GGUAGAAUAUUCUAACAAGACGAAAGCACACGAUGACAAUAAUAAUUUGAGGCUUGGGCAACAGCAUCUUCACUCAGUUAUUGAAAUGCAAUUGGGCCCCAAUAUAUAGUAAUUAUUAUAACUUAAAUGGCAAUAUUUUGAUAUAUUAUAUUAAUAAUUAUAAUAAAUGGCUUAAUUUGUUUAUACGAAACAAUGCCAAGCGAAUUUUGAAGAAGAUGGGUUUGUGGGAGCUUCAAUUUUUGAAAAGUUGCUUGAGAUUGUAAGGCCCAACAGCAAGAGAGUUUCCAUGCCCACCCCACAUUUGAUCUGCCAAUUGUUUGUAAGCCAUUUCUGUGAGAUGAAAAGAGUCCCAAAACAGAUAUUCAUUUGGGUUUCUACACAAUUCAAACUCCUUCACUAGCCUCUUUCCUCCACAGCUGUAAACCCCUCUAAACUUCCCUGUUCCACAGCACGCUGCCUUCCCUUGCUUGAAACCUUCAUCACCCAAUUUGCCAAUUCAGUAUAACAAUUCCAACUUUACCAAAAUAACAUAUCAAGAUGUGGCAAUAGUUUUUCUAUAUCAGGCUGAGUAGUUUUCUGUUAUAAACCAAAAAAAUCGAAUCGACUUAUUGCUCAAUCCUAUUUUCUCAAAAAUUACCUCUAUGGUCUUGGUCCAUGAGAAUUCAUAAUCCUACAGGCCUAGAUAGGAUAACUCUUUUACCAACCCAUACCAGCUUCACACGUAAAUAUUCAUAAUGCUCGUAUUUAUUGGUAUAGAGCCCACAAGCCUCUCAUACAAAAAGGGCUAAUAUCCCAAGAAAUGAGAGUGGCUAAUUUCUAUCUUCUUGAUGGGUAGAUUGUUUGUAGUACAUACCAUACUUGGAAGGAUGCUUCAUUCUUUGUUGAAGGCUGGUUUUGAAGUCGAAGAUUGAAUAUUUGAACCCUUUUAAUUGCUUCUCCAAUCCAAAGAGGAGCUUGGAGAGAGCUUUAUUAUGUAAAGUUGCUAGCAGUGAAGUUUCCUCCAAGCAUCUACCAUUGUUCUGUGGUUUAAUUAUUCUCAUAGCAGGAAGACAGCCUAAUGCUGGCAGAUUGAUGAAUGCAAAUUUUCUGCCUCCUAGCUUAUAAACUUCUUUCAGAACUGCAGUCAAAUUGCCAAUGACCAUUCCAACGUAUCUGGAGUGGGAGUAAGACCUUAAGACAGUGGAAUUGGUCAAGAAAGGGCUCAUGUAAUCAUUGCUACCAAUGCUAAACAAGUGAACAGCUUUUGAAAUUGUCAUCCUAGCCUCAUUAUUGCCUAAUUUGUCCCUCAACCAAUUCUCCACCUUCUUGUAGUAGCUCAACUGUGUUUUAAGGUCAAUCACAUCCCCUUGAAAAGUUUCAACCAAAGCACCUGCUCCUCCUGAUGCAAAAUUCACUCCAAAUCUAUACUCAUCAAUGCCAGGUUGCAGAAAAGGUGGGAUUAAUGGAAGAUUUGCAUACUCAGCAAUAAAGUCCACCACCAAACGACCAUCGGAGAAACGGCCGGUGGGGAACUUGAAGUAAGUCUCUCCAUAAGGCCAGAAAUUUGCUUGGUCAAGAGUUGUGGUGUUGAUAUAAUUGUUGUUUCCGGCGUCUAGAAAUGAGUCGCCAAAGAUGAAGAAAUGAACAUGUUUCUUUGGGUGGUGGUCGAACUUUUCUUCUGAAGUUGCUGAAAUAAGAAGUAGAUGAAGAUGAAAGAAGACGAAUAAGAGAGAGCUUAGUCUUGGCCUCGCCAUGGCUGACUUUUUGUUUGCAUUAAUCACAGAAAAUAUUCUAGUGCAU
rnacentral:misc_RNA from 1 species